AGGGAAUCUUCCGCAAUGGACGAAAGUCUGACGGAGCAACGCCGCGUGAGUGGUGAAGGUUUUCGGAUCGUAGAACUCUGUUGUUAGGGAAGAACAAGUACCGUUCGAAUAGGGCGGCACCUAGACGGUACCUAACCAGAAAGCCACGGCUAACUACGUGCCAGCAGCCGCGGUAAUACGUAGGUGGCAAGCGUUGUCCGGAAUUAUUGGGCGUAAAGCGCGCGCAGGCGGUCUUUUAAGUCUGAUGUGAAAGCCCACGGCUCAACCGUGGAGGGUCAUUGGAAACUGGAAGACUUGAGUGCAGAAGAGGAGAGUGGAAUUCCACGUGUAGCGGUGAAAUGCGUAGAGAUGUGGAGGAACACCAGUGGCGAAGGCGACUCUCUGGUCUGUAACUGACGCUGAGGCGCGAAAGCGUGGGGAGCAAAC
rnacentral:rRNA from 1 species